CAGAGUACGAGCGUACCACUCUCUAGUGGUGUUCUAACCUCCACCCUUGAAUAAAUUACCUUUGUUGCUUUGGCGGGUCGUCUUUGACCAGCGGCUUCGGCUGUUGCGUGCCCGCCAGAGGACCACAACUCUUGUUUUUAGUGAUGUCUGAGUACUAUAUAAUAGUUA
rnacentral:misc_RNA from 1 species